rnacentral:rRNA from 1 species
AACGCGAAGAACCUUACCUGGGUUUGACAUGCACAGGACGCCGGCAGAGAUGUCGGUUCCCUUGUGGCCUGUGUGCAGGUGGUGCAUGGCUGUCGUCAGCUCGUGUCGUGAGAUGUUGGGUUAAGUCCCGCAACGAGCGCAACCCUUGUCUCAUGUUGCCAGCACGUUAUGGUGGGGACUCGUGAGAGACUGCCGGGGUCAACUCGGAGGAAGGUGGGGAUGACGUCAAGUCAUCAUGCCCCUUAUGUCCAGGGCUUCACACAUGCUACAAUGGCCGGUACAAAGGGCUGCGAUGCCGUGAGGUGGAGCGAAUCCUUGUUAAAGCCGGUCUCAGUUCGGAUACGGGGUCUGCAACUCGACCCACGUGAAGUCGGAGUCGCUAGUAAUCGCAGAUCAGCAACGCUGCGGUGAAUACGUUCCCGGGUCUUGUACACACCG